rnacentral:sRNA from 1 species
CGUUACUUAUCUGUCGUUACUUAUCUGUCGUUACUUAUCUGUCGUUACUUAUCUGCCGUUACUUAUCUGCCGUUACUUAUCCCUCGUUAAUUAUCUGCCGUUACUUAUCUGUCGUUACUUAUCUGCCGUUACUUAUCUGUCGUUACUUAUCUGUCGUUACUUAUCUGUCGUUACUUAUCUGCCGUUACUUAUCCUUCUCUAACACUAUUUAACUUUUCUCUAAGCUAUCGCCAUGUUGCUUUUCAUCUACGCCUACUCUGCUACGUCAUUCGUCUGUCUGACUACGUCACUACUUUUAGCGUCGCUUAAAACAAAUUAAUAUACAAUACAUUUAUCUACCAAAUUUAACAUACUCUCUAACUCAAUUAGGUCACUACAUUGUCUCUUGUUGUUUCAUCGUGUAACAUUUUGUUUUCUUGUUCCACUUAGAGGCGUUUUCAUAUUUCAAGCUCUCUUACACCCACAUGUACAAUGACAUGACAAAGUUCUUGCGAAAGCUUUUGAAGAAGCUGAAAAGAAGAGACCUAAGUGAGGUUCAUUAUCUCAAGGGCAUUUCUCACAUCAUGUCGCCAAACGACGCCUUCUUUGAUGUCAAGCAUACGAGCUUGGUUCUGGAGAGGUGGCAGAAGACGGUCAAUACACUGAAGCUUGUGCUCAUGAACGUUGAUAGAUACGCCUCGAAAGAAAAUCUGAAAAUGUUUACAAAAUAUAAGAAAAGGCUAGAAUGGUGGAUUCGCGCAGUUGAAAGCAAUGCAAUCUUCCUGAGGCUUGAAAGUGCUUCUGUUGAUUAACACACAGACCAUGAUGCAACAGAAGCGCGUCAUUUGUAAAAUAGUUACAUUGUGGCUUUGUAAUAGAUGUCUGACAAUAAAUAUCUGAAAGUUUGUUUUA